rnacentral:rRNA from 1 species
CUGGAGGUAUCAGAAGUGCGAAUGCUGACAUAAGUAACGAUAAAGCGGGUGAAAAGCCCGCUCGCCGGAAGACCAAGGGUUCCUGUCCAACGUUAAUCGGGGCAGGGUGAGUCGACCCCUAAGGCGAGGCCGAAAGGCGUAGUCGAUGGGAAACGGGUUAAUAUUCCCGUACUUGGUGUUACUGCGAAGGGGGGACGGAGAAGGCUAUGUUGGCCGGGCGACGGUUGUCCCGGUUUAAGCGUGUAGGUGUGUGUUCCAGGUAAAUCCGGUUCACUUUAACACUGAGGCGUGACGACGAGGCACUACGGUGCUGAAGCAACAAAUGCCCUGCUUCCAGGAAAAGCCUCUAAGCAUCAGGUAACAUCAAAUCGUACCCCAAACCGACACAGGUGGUCAGGUAGAGAAUACCAAGGCGCUUGAGAGAACUCGGGUGAAGGAACUAGGCAAAAUGGUGCCGUAACUUCGGGAGAAGGCACGCUGACACGUAGGUGAAGUGAUUUACUCACGGAGCUGAAGUCAGUCGAAGAUACCAGCUGGCUGCAACUGUUUAUUAAAAACACAGCACUGUGCAAACACGAAAGUGGACGUAUACGGUGUGACGCCUGCCCGGUGCCGGAAGGUUAAUUGAUGGGGUCAGCGCAAGCGAAGCUCCUGAUCGAAGCCCCGGUAAACGGCGGCCGUAACUAUAACGGUCCUAAGGUAGCGAAAUUCCUUGUCGGGUAAGUUCCGACCUGCACGAAUGGCGUAAUGAUGGCCAGGCUGUCUCCACCCGAGACUCAGUGAAAUUGAACUCGCUGUGAAGAUGCAGUGUACCCGCGGCAAGACGGAAAGACCCCGUGAACCUUUACUAUAGCUUGACACUGAACAUUGAGCCUUGAUGUGUAGGAUAGGUGGGAGGCUUUGAAGCGUGGACGCCAGUCUGCGUGGAGCCGACCUUGAAAUACCACCCUUUAAUGUUUGAUGUUCUAACGUGGACCCGUGAUCCGGGUUGCGGACAGUGUCUGGUGGGUAGUUUGACUGGGGCGGUCUCCUCCUAAAGAGUAACGGAGGAGCACGAAGGUUGGCUAAUCCUGGUCGGACAUCAGGAGGUUAGUGCAAUGGCAUAAGCCAGCUUGACUGCGAGCGUGACGGCGCGAGCAGGUGCGAAAGCAGGUCAUAGUGAUCCGGUGGUUCUGAAUGGAAGGGCCAUCGCUCAACGGAUAAAAGGUACUCCGGGGAUAACAGGCUGAUACCGCCCAAGAGUUCAUAUCGACGGCGGUGUUUGGCACCUCGAUGUCGGCUCAUCACAUCCUGGGGCUGAAGUAGGUCCCAAGGGUAUGGCUGUUCGCCAUUUAAAGUGGUACGCGAGCUGGGUUUAGAACGUCGUGAGACAGUUCGGUCCCUAUCUGCCGUGGGCGCUGGAGAACUGAGGGGGGCUGCUCCUAGUACGAGAGGACCGGAGUGGACGCAUCACUGGUGUUCGGGUUGUCAUGCCAAUGGCACUGCCCGGUAGCUAAAUGCGGAAGAGAUAAGUGCUGAAAGCAUCUAAGCACGAAACUUGCCCCGA